UGCAUAUCAAAUAAGCGGAGGAAAAGAAACCAACAGGGAUUGCCUUAGUAACGGCGAGUGAAGCGGCAAAAGCUCAAAUUUGAAAGCUAGCACCUUCGGUGUUCGCGUUGUAAUUUGAAGAUAGUUUCCUUGAGUAGUCCUUUAUCUAUGUUCCUUGGAACAGGACGUCAUAGAGGGUGAGAACCCCGUAUGAUUUUGGAUACUACUCUUUGUGGGAUUCUAUCGAAGAGUCGAGUUGUUUGGGAAUGCAGCUCUAAGUGGGUGGUAAAUUCCAUCUAAAGCUAAAUAUUGGCGAGAGACCGAUAGCGAACAAGUACAGUGAUGGAAAGAUGAAAAGAACUCUGAAGAGAGAGUGAAAAAGUACGUGAAAUUGCUGAAAGGGAAGGGCUUGAGGUCAGACUUGGUGUUUAAUGAUUAUCAGUUCUUCUUGGACUGUGCACUCGUUUUUCACCGGGCCAAUAUCAGUUUUAGCGGUAGAGUACCCCUUGAAAUGUGGCUUCCUUCGGGGAGUGUUAUAGUCUUGGGGAGAUCUACUUGCUGGGACUGAGGACUGCGCUUCGGCAAGGAUAUUGGCGUAAUGACCUUAAGCCGCCCGUCUUGAAACACGGACCA
rnacentral:rRNA from 1 species